AACAGCAAUAACAGGACGGCAGGGAGAGAAAUUGAAUACCGGCAAAUUGCUUCCCAGAGUUUCUGGAGGACAUGUGACAUCUGAGAAGAGAUGGAGACCGGCAGCGGGGGGAAUGGAGGAGCAGAGGGACCUCACCCUGGGUUAGAUUGCACUGGAUGCCCAGAUAAGACGACAGGAAAGGGCACAUUGGGGCAAAGCAACAGGGGAAGCUGGCUGGGGCUACUGUUAUCCCAGGAAGCGCUCACUCAUCCCUCAGAUCACCUGCCACACCUGUGGAGGCGGAGAUUUUAUUCAGUCACACAGUGCCACCAGCCAGAGGUUGAGAAGUGGUCACCAGAGAUCAUCAGAUAGGACUCAAUCACACAUUCCUGACAACACAUACACAUCCCAGUA